ACUAAAAUGCAGGUUCUAACAAUUAGGUCAAACUAAAUUAUCAAUUCUUCUGGUUUUAAAGAAAGAUAAACAUUUCUACUUAUUACUUUAAGAGACCUCUACAAAAUUGGUCUAUCCCGAUCUACCAACAGGAAUAAAAUAAACAAUUUAUAUUAUUUAAUAUUGAGUUUAGUUAAAAGUUAUUAAUUUUUUAAAAAAAUAAUAAAAACUAACCUUUUAUAAGAUUUUAUGUGAAAUUAUAAUAAUAGUAUUUAAAUUCUUGAUCAAAUUAAGUUUUAAACUCAUUAAUUUUGACCCAAUUUUACAUAAAAAUCUCAUAUAAGUUAAUCUGCCAAUUGUUAUUUAUUUUCUUAAAUUAAGAAAUAGCUACGAGAGAGGUUGAUAUGUUUUAAUAGAUUUUCACUGCAUCUUUUUAUGAAUCAACCAUGGAGAGAUUGAGCAACGUGGAUUAGAAAAACCAAACACUGACUGCAAGAAUCUUGAUCGGUUAGUAGUUCCUUCUCCCUCCACAGUCUCUCUCUCUCUCUCUCUCUCUCUCUCUCUCUCUAACCGCAGAAUUUUGUUAGAAGAAAAUACAGAAGCAAGACAUGCACUUCUCUCAUUCUUUCCGCCAAGAUUUCCCCACAAAAUUUCCUUCACUAUUUCCGGUAUAGGAUGCACUCUGCUUCUGUAUUUCUCUUCUGGGUCCAUUUCUGUAUCUUCUUCUUCUUCUUCACUUUCUCCUCACUUUCUCUCCGGCCCCCAAACAAUCUCACCUUCUAUGGCGACGCCCGCAUUAGAAACAACACCAUUUGUCUCACUCAAGAACCAUCAUGUCCCUCUUCUNNN
rnacentral:lncRNA from 1 species